CAUGGAACAUGUCUCAUGGACAUAGUGAGACUACUGUAUCUGAUUUUUCUCAGUGUUGUCACUUGUUAAUUGACUUUUCUCGUUAAAAUUGUGUUGGUUCUUGAUAGGAUGAAUGGUUUACAUUGUAUGCUGAACUUUGAAUACUAUUCAAGUAAUUAAGUAGUCAACCAAAGAAUCCCCAUGUUGAAGUGUAGUUAAAAAACAUGGUAUGUGAGCAUGUUCUGCUUUUCACUGGGCUCCAUAGAUACCAGGACGGAGCAUUGACUCACACUGCCUUAUUGCAGAUGUGUGGAGUGAAAGUUCUCCCCAGGCAUCACUGACACUUUAUCUUUCCAGCAAAAAUGAGCACCAACUGGUACUGCUUGUUGUCUCCCAGGGGGAGUGUUUCCUCUGCUUUCUGCUGUGUUUCACUGAUGCCAUCGAAGGAGGAUGCUGAAGACUGACUCAAAAAACACUUUUUCUUUUUUUUUUUUUUUUUUUUGCUACAGGUAUGAGGAAGAAGCUUAGCUCCUCACUGGAGCCCACUGAUGACACAGAUGGGGCAGUGAAGUCAACCCGCUUCAUCUCACACCACCUCUUCCCCUUUUUAGUACCAGAAGUAAACACCCACUUUGUCCACCCAGUGGCAAAGCCAGUCCUGCUACUUAGUCAUUAGGAACAGAAUGAAGUGACCUGAGAGCUGUAUUCAUCAACAAGUUGCAGUAUAGUGUUCCCUGAAGAAUGAAUCAAAUUCAGUCUUGCUUUUUGAGGUAAGUAGGGUGUAUGAAGUAAUCCUGAGGUACAACAUACAGCAUUCAAGAAUGGUGGAAUCAUUACAAUACUAUCUUUGCAGAGACUACUGGGGCAAUAUAAUUUUCCUUUGAUUACUUUAAAAAAGCACAUCUGAACAUUUACUUCAAGUUCUUAAAUGCAAUCCCCUUUUGUCAAUAAUUGAAAACAACACUUUAAGAAUCUUCCAGCUUGAAUAUGGAAAGUGGUGCAAACAUCAUGUAAGAUAAACCAUUUGUGGAGUAUAUAAUGAUCAUAUUAACUAACAACAUAAACACUAUGAGAACACUGACAGCAACACAAUGCAAAGAAUAUUGAUUUAGCACUAUUGUACUAAUACUCUUUGGAAAUAUAUAUAUAGCUAUUUAGAUUUCACAGUAAGUUUGGUAUGAUGAUACAAGGCAAUCCUAAAACACAAAUUUGUAUUAUUAGCAGCAUUCACUAUUAUUCAGUACACUGGGUAAAUUUCAUUGUGCACUACAGUGAUUAUAAAGAAGCUGUAGGGCUACAUGCCAUUUGUCAUAUUUAAACCUAAUUUUAGACUGCUCAGUCCACUAUUUUUGGUAAUAUCAAGAGAGCAAUAAUUACCUGUUUCUUUACAGUAUAUAGAAAUAAGAAACAGGAGGCUUAUAUCAAAUGCAAAACUUCAGUCUACAUCAAAAUCUGCCACAGGCCUAAAUUAAGGACAUACAAAAUUUAACAUAAAAUGAUACACCUAAAGAAAUG
rnacentral:lncRNA from 1 species